CCUACGGGCGGCAGCAGUGAGGAAUAUUGGUCAAUGGACGAGAGUCUGAACCAGCCAAGUAGCGUGAAGGAUGACUGCCCUAUGGGUUGUAAACUUCUUUUAUAUGGGAAUAAAAUGUUCCACGUGUGGGAUUUUGUAUGUACCAUAUGAAUAAGGAUCGGCUAACUCCGUGCCAGCAGCCGCGGUAAUACGGAGGAUCCGAGCGUUAUCCGGUGUUAUUGGGUUUAAAGGGAGCGUAGGUGGAUUGUUAAGUCAGUUGUGAAAGUUUGCGGCUCAACCGUAAAAUUGCAGUUGAAACUGGCAGUCUUGAGUACAGUAGAGGUGGGCGGAAUGCGUGGUGUAGCGGUGAAAUGCUUAGAUAGCACGAAGAACUCCGAUUGCGAAGGCAGUUCACUGGACUGCAACUGACACUGAGGCUCGAAAGUGUGGGUAUCAAACAGGAUUAGAUACCCGUGUAGUC
rnacentral:rRNA from 1 species